AUCGCUAGUAAUCGUAGAUCAGAAUGCUACGGUGAAUACGUUCCCGGGCCUUGUACACACCGCCCGUCACACCAUGGGAGUGGGUUGCAAAAGAAGUAGGUAGCUUAACCUUCGGGAGGGCGCUUACCACUUUGUGAUUCAUGACUGGGGUGAAGUCGUAACAAGGUAACCGUAGGGGAACCUGCGGUUGGAUCACCUCCUUACCUAAAGA
rnacentral:rRNA from 1 species